UGCAGUCGAGCGGACAGAAAGGGAGCUUGCUCCCGGAUGUUAGCGGCGGACGGGUGAGUAACACGUGGGUAACCUGCCUGUAAGACUGGGAUAACUCCGGGAAACCGGAGCUAAUACCGGAUAGUUCCUUGAACCGCAUGGUUCAAGGAUGAAAGACGGUUUCGGCUGUCACUUACAGAUGGACCCGCGGCGCAUUAGCUAGUUGGUGGGGUAAUGGCUCACCAAGGCGACGAUGCGUAGCCGACCUGAGAGGGUGAUCGGCCACACUGGGACUGAGACACGGCCCAGACUCCUACGGGAGGCAGCAGUAGGGAAUCUUCCGCAAUGGACGAAAGUCUGACGGAGCAACGCCGCGUGAGUGAUGAAGGUUUUCGGAUCGUAAAGCUCUGUUGUUAGGGAAGAACAAGUGCGAGAGUAACUGCUCGCACCUUGACGGUACCUAACCAGAAAGCCACGGCUAACUACGUGCCAGCAGCCGCGGUAAUACGUAGGUGGCAAGCGUUGUCCGGAAUUAUUGGGCGUAAAGGGCUCGCAGGCGGUUUCUUAAGUCUGAUGUGAAAGCCCCCGGCUCAACCGGGGAGGGUCAUUGGAAACUGGGAAACUUGAGUGCAGAAGAGGAGAGUGGAAUUCCACGUGUAGCGGUGAAAUGCGUAGAGAUGUGGAGGAACACCAGUGGCGAAGGCGACUCUCUGGUCUGUAACUGACGCUGAGGAGCGAAAGCGUGGGGAGCGAACAGGAUUAGAUACCCUGGUAGUCCACGCCGUAAACGAUGAGUGCUAAGUGUUAGGGGGUUUCCGCCCCUUAGUGCUGCAGCUAACGCAUUAAGCACUCCGCCUGGGGAGUACGGUCGCAAGACUGAAACUCAAAGGAAUUGACGGGGGCCCGCACAAGCGGUGGAGCAUGUGGUUUAAUUCGAAGCAACGCGAAGAACCUUACCAGGUCUUGACAUCCUCUGACAACCCUAGAGAUAGGGCUUUCCCUUCGGGGACAGAGUGACAGGUGGUGCAUGGUUGUCGUCAGCUCGUGUCGUGAGAUGUUGGGUUAAGUCCCGCAACGAGCGCAACCCUUGAUCUUAGUUGCCAGCAUUCAGUUGGGCACUCUAAGGUGACUGCCGGUGACAAACCGGAGGAAGGUGGGGAUGACGUCAAAUCAUCAUGCCCCUUAUGACCUGGGC
rnacentral:rRNA from 1 species